rnacentral:rRNA from 1 species
GACGAACGCUGGCGGCGUGCCUAAUACAUGCAAGUAGAACGCUGAAGAGAGGAGCUUGCUCUUCUUGGAUGAGUUGCGAACGGGUGAGUAACGCGUAGGUAACCUGCCUGGUAGCGGGGGAUAACUAUUGGAAACGAUAGCUAAUACCGCAUAAAAUUGAUUAUUGCAUGAUACUUAAUUGAAAGAUGCAACUGCAUCACUACCAGAUGGACCUGCGUUGUAUUAGCUAGUUGGUGAGGUAACGGCUCACCAAGGCGACGAUACAUAGCCGACCUGAGAGGGUGGAUGGCCAAACUGGGAAUGGGACAAGGCCCAAGAUCCUUCGGGGGGCAGCAGUAGGGGAACUUUGGCAAUGGGGGGAAAGCUGGCCGAGCAAAGCCGCGUGGGUGAAGGAGGUUUUCGGAUCGGAAAGCUCUGUUGUAAGGGAAGAAAGGGUGUGAGGGUGGAAAGUUCACGUUGUGACGGUAUCUAACCAGAAAGGGACGGCUAACUACGUG